AGCAGUCGCCGCGGGAAAACGAAGGGUGCAAGCGUUAAUCGGAAUUACUGGGCGUAAAGCGCGCGUAGGUGGUUCAUUAAGUUGGAUGUGAAAGCCCUGGGCUCAACCUGGGAACUGCAUCCAAAGCUGGUGAGCUAGAGUACGGUAGAGGGUAGUGGAAUUUCCUGUGUAGCGGUGAAAUGCGUAGAUAUAGGAAGGAACACCAGUGGCGAAGGCGACUACCUGGACUGAUACUGACACUGAGGUGCGAAAGCGUGGGGAGCAAACAGGAUUAGAUACCCCGGUAGUCCCUGUCUCUUAUAC
rnacentral:rRNA from 1 species